GGGGUUGUGGCUCAGUGGUAAAGUGCUUGCCUAGCAUGCAUGAGGUACUGGGUUCGAUUCUCAGCAUCACAU
rfam:Ictidomys tridecemlineatus contig093570, whole genome shotgun sequence.